UCCCACGUACAGUAGAUCUAUAAGCUUCCUUCACGCACAAAUCGUCUCACCGGCUUCAACAAUUCAGAUCUUCGAACCACCGGCUUCAACACUCCCACCCAUCGCAUAGCUACCACCGGCUUCACGUCGCACCCCAGCCACCACCGUUCACAGCCACCGCGACAAAGCACGCCACCAACGUCGCACACCACCAACUGUCGUCGCACACCCACCACCGCGACGCCGACGCUACAACCGCCACCACGCCGUCGAUCUGCACCCCUCCCUUGCCCUGCGACGAUGGUGGCCUCCCUGUGACGACGCCACCGCUGCCGGCUCCAUCAGGGUACAAACUUCAAAGAGUGGCAACUGGUGGUGAAUGAAAUUGUCCGAUUCACAAAGGUGGAUUUUACCUCAUUGGUUGUUAGGCCUUUGCGGUAUUGUGCUAUGUUUGCUUCAUAUCCAUUGUCGACCUUAUGUGGCCCGCUUCCAUGCUAAGAAGGUCCUGAAGUUUCAAGAUGCAGUGCUAACUAGCUAUCAUAAAAAUGAGGUCAAGUUUGCAGAACUAACUUUAGAUACUUUUAGAAUGCUCCAAUGCUUGGAAUAGGAACCCAGUGGUUCUUUCUAUCAGAAGAUGGCCAUUGAACCACAAGAUAAUGGGGCACUGGCUGACCAUUCCUUGACAUCUGGACUGAUUAAUAUAAAUUUGGCUGCUGACAUGACGGAUCCAGAUCUUCCUUCAAAUCCUAAAAAAGCCACGCUUUAUCGCCCUUCAGUUGCACAAUUGAUAGCAGUCAUUGCCACAAUAUGUGGAGCUUCCUCCAGAAAGUGUGAUCUUAUUAUACGUCUCUACAUCAGGGAGUUCUGGUCAGAGUAGUCCAACACAGAUGGAGAACUCUAUACGUUCAAGAAAAUCUUCGAAGCCCACUGCUCAUUCUCAUACUUCUCAUGAACAGAAUAGGUCUCUGCAUGAAAACCAUAUCAGUUGCAAUAGAGAUUCAAAUCGCUAUUUUGAGAACUAUUUGUGGUUUGGUCCUAGCAGAAAUGGAGGUACCAGAGUGGAUGAACCCUUUUUCUGUUUGUGGUUCUUAAUUUUGGUAAUCUCAUUUGAUGGUUUACCUCCUUGUAGACAAAAUUCAUUUGUUUUAAUGAUAUUAUUGUAUUAAAGUAUGAGGAUUUUAAGUAUUAUUGUGUUUUGAUGAUAGUAUUUGCAUUGUGUUAAAA